AAGCCGGAAUUGCUAGUAAUGGCAGGUCAGCAUACUGCCGUGAAUACGUUCCCGGGCCUUGUACACACCGCCCGUCACACCAUGAGAGUUGGAGAUACCCGAAGCCUGUGAGCUAACAAACGAGGCAGCAGUCGAAGGUAGAAUCAAUGAUUGGGGUGAAGUCGUAACAAGGUACC
rnacentral:rRNA from 1 species